rnacentral:miRNA from 1 species
AUGAGAUGAAAUUAGCGUUUGGAU